UACGUAGGGUGCGAGCGUUAAUCGGAAUUACUGGGCGUAAAGCGUGCGCAGGCGGCGCGUUAAGACAGGUGUGAAAGCCCCGAGCUUAACUUGGGAAUUGCGCUCGAAACUACGGUGCUGGAGUGUGGCAGAGGGAGGUGGAAUUCCACGUGUAGCGGUGAAAUGCGUAGAGAUGUGGAGGAACACCGAUGGCGAAGGCAGCCUCCUGGGCCAACACUGACGCUCAUGCACGAAAGCGUGGGGAGCAAACAGG
rnacentral:rRNA from 1 species